CGGACGGGUGAGUAACGCGUGAGAAUCUAACUUCAGGACGGGGACAACAGUGGGAAACGACUGCUAAUACCCGAUGUGCCGCGAGGUGAAACCUAAUUGGCCUGAAGAAGAGCUUGCGUCUGAUUAGCUAGUUGGUGGGGUAAGAGCCUACCAAGGCGACGAUCAGUAGCUGGUCUGAGAGGAUGAGCAGCCACACUGGGACUGAGACACGGCCCAGACUCCUACGGGAGGCAGCAGUGGGGAAUUUUCCGCAAUGGGCGAAAGCCUGACGGAGCAACGCCGCGUGAGGGAGGAAGGUCUUUGGAUUGUAAACCUCUUUUCUCAAGGAAGAAGUUCUGACGGUACUUGAGGAAUCAGCCUCGGCUAACUCCGUGCCAGCAGCCGCGGUAAUACGGGGGAGGCAAGCGUUAUCCGGAAUUAUUGGGCGUAAAGCGUCCGCAGGUGGUCAGCCAAGUCUGCUGUCAAAUCAGGUUGCUUAACGACCUAAAGGCGGUGGAAACUGGCAGACUAGAGAGCAGUAGGGGUAGCAGGAAUUCCCAGUGUAGCGGUGAAAUGCGUAGAGAUUGGGAAGAACAUCGGUGGCGAAAGCGUGCUACUGGGCUGUAUCUGACACUCAGGGACGAAAGCUAGGGGAGCGAAUGGGAUUAGAUACCCCAGUAGUC
rnacentral:rRNA from 1 species